UUUUCCUAUUUUUAAUUCUAUUUAAAAAAAUUUUAAGUAACAUUUCUUUAGACUUGCGUAAUUUACAAAUGAACUAGCUCUAUUAGGUAGUUCAUUUCGGGAAACCACUAAAUUCGAUUGUGGAGUUGAUUUUUUUUGAACAUAUUUAGACUUUGGAACAUAUAUUGUUAUCCAUUUAUUUUCGGUGUCAUCCUCUAGCAAAAAGAGGAAUGCUUUCAAGGUAGAUUCUGUGCAAAUUACAUAACAGAUGCAUUUUCUUUUUGCUUUUUUGGAUUUCUAGUAAACUAAAAUUCUUUUUGGCAACAUGGCGUUUAAGCCGUCAUACAAAAAUCGUGUCAAGACUGUCGUAUCCGCAAUAAAAACCACUUUCCAUUGGGGUUUUAUGCCGCUAAUAAUCUAUUUAGGCUUAAGAACUGGGGCUGAGCCAGGUAAGCCUGCAUUGAGUGUGUGGAGCUUGCUGCCAUUCCAUUUUUAACAAUUAAGAAUAUCAUAGUA